rnacentral:rRNA from 1 species
GAUGAACGCUGGCGGCGUGCCUAAUACAUGCAGGUCGAGCGAACGGACGAGAAGCUUGCUUCUCUGAUGUUAGCGGCGGACGGGUGAGUAACACGUGGAUAACCUACCUAUAAGACUGGGAUAACUUCGGGAAACCGGAGCUAAUACCGGAUAAUAUUUUGAACCGCAUGGUUCAAAAGUGAAAGACGGUCCUGCUGUCACUUAUAGAUGGAUCCGCGCUGCAUUAGCUAGUUGGUAAGGUAACGGCUUACCAAGGCAACGAUGCAUAGCCGACCUGAGAGGGUGAUCGGCCACACUGGAACUGAGACACGGUCCAGACUCCUACGGGAGGCAGCAGUAGGGAAUCUUCCGCAAUGGGCGAAAGCCUGACGGAGCAACGCCGCGUGAGUGAUGAAGGUCCUCGGAUCGUAAAACUCUGUUAUUAGGGAAGAACAUAUGUGUAAGUAACUGUGCACAUCUUGACGGUACCUAAUCAGAAAGCCACGGCUAACUACGUG